CCUACGGGAGGCUGCAGUGAGGAAUAUUGGUCAAUGGGCGGAAGCCUGAACCAGCCAAGUCGCGUGAGGGAUUAAGGCCCUGCGGGUCGUAAACCUCUUUUGCCGGGGAGCAGUGGUCCGUUCGCGUCCGGACCGGGAGAGUACCCGGAGAAACAGCAUCGGCUAACUCCGUGCCAGCAGCCGCGGUAAUACGGAGGAUGCGAGCGUUAUCCGGUUUUAUUGGGUUUAAAGGGUGCGUAGGCGGGCAUUUAAGCCGGCGGUAAAGUGUCGGGGCUAAACCGCGGCCGGCCGUCGGAACUGGGUGCCUUGAGUGGGCGAGAGGUAUGCGGAAUGCGAGGUGUAGCGGUGAAAUGCAUAGAUA
rnacentral:rRNA from 1 species